rnacentral:lncRNA from 1 species
GUGCAUCAAUUCCAAACUAAAUCAAGAAAUAGAACCAAACUGAAUAAAAAAUACACCCAAACUAAUUCCAAAAAUGUUCAUGUGGUGCACCAAUUCCACAAGUUCUUCCUCUUUCACUUUCUUCUUUCCUGCAUUAACAUUAAAUAAACAAAACGUUUAGAAUCAACCCAAACCAGAAUUUUCCUAAAUCAAAACAGAACAAAAAUUUCAAAAUUAAAAAAAACAAAAUCAGAAUCAACCCUAUACCAGAAUUUUGCAAGAAAGUAAAGAAAUACAACCAAACUAAUUCCAAAAAUUUUGCAAAAAUGGUGCACCAAUUCCAAACUAAAUCAAGAAAUAAAACCAAAAAAGCAAAAUAAGAAUCAACCCUAAACCAGAAUUUUCCUAAAUCAAAACAGAACAAAAAUUUCAAAAUUAAAAAAGCAAAAUCAGAAUCAACCCUAAACAAGAAUUUCCCUAAAUCAAAACAGAACAAAAAUUUCAAAAUUAAAAAAGCAAAAUCAGAAUCAAUAAAUUAAAAUCAAUAAAAAGACUAAACCAGAAUUAAUAAAAAUAGAAUCGGAACAAAAAAAACUACCUGAGACUUAGGCUCCAUUGCAGAGGACGAUGGAGGUGUAGGAUGGUAAGACGGCGGCGACGACGAACCAAAGACCAGAGAGACUGGACAGAUCAACGACGAACGAGAGACGGACGAUGAACGGUGGUUGCUUUGACUGCGUCUGGUGCGUGCUGCUGCGGUUC